UACGGGGGGGACUAGCGUUGUUCGGAUUCACUGGGCGUAAAGGGCGCGUAGGCGGACCCUCAAGUCGGGUGUGAAAACUGACGGCUCAACCGGCAGCCUGCAUCCGAUACUGUGGGUCUUGAGUACGGGAGAGGAAAGUGGAAUUCCAGGUGUAGCGGUGGAAUGCGUAGAUAUCUGGAAGAACACCAGUAGCGAAGGCGGCUUUCUGGACCGAUACUGACGCUAAAGCGCGAAGGCUUGGGGAGCAAACAGGAUUAGAUACCCUGGUAGUCCAAGCGGUAAACGAUGGGUACUAGGUGUCGGGGGUCUCGACCCCCCCGGUGCCGCAGCUAACGCACUAAGUACCCCGCCUGGGGAGUACGAUCGCAAGAUUGAA
rnacentral:rRNA from 1 species